GUGUAUCUGUUCGGCCGCUGUUUUUAUGUGGUGAUCUGAGUUUUCUGGUUUUUUGGAUAGUUACGGUUACCUUUGACGACGAUUGAUUAACAAGACAUCGGGUGAAGAUUCAACGAGCCAGGCGCCUUACAGCUGACAAUCUGCGUGAUCGGUGCUGUCCUGUGCACUGCAAACGCCAUUCUUAAAAGCCUCGCACUGGGAGCUCUUGGUCUGGGAGCUGGUGCACUCUUGGGAUCCGCUUUGGCCCGCGGUGGUGGCGGUGGUGGCUACGGCGGUGGGUGGGAGCCCUACCCGAGGGCCUGGCACGGUGGAGGAUCCGGAGGUCCUGGUUUCGGCUUCCACGUCGGCUUCCACGGAUAGAUCUCACCGAUAACAAUACAGGCUGCGAUCAUUCCCCAAAGCACGAGAAGUCACGGAAAACCACGACCUGCACGAAACACAGUACAAAAAUGAAAAUUCCUGGAAUAAACCUUGUAAAUAUUGCCUUUUCUAUA